rnacentral:pre_miRNA from 11 species
AUCUCAUCAUGAUCCCUAGGUACUGAAAGACCCCCAGAGUGGGGAGACCCUCACUCAAGUCUCAGGAUAAGCUGAUGCCCCAAUAAUUCAAGAGAAACC